rnacentral:rRNA from 1 species
UACGUAGGGUGCAAGCGUUGUCCGGAAUUAUUGGGCGUAAAGAGCUCGUAGGCGGCCUGUUGCGUCCGCUGUGAAAUCCCGGGGCUCAACCCCGGGCGUGCAGUGGAUACGGGCUGGCUGGAGGCAGGCAGGGGAGAACGGAAUUCCUGGUGUAGCGGUGAAAUGCGCAGAUAUCAGGAGGAACACCGGUGGCGAAGGCGGUUCUCUGGGCAGUAACUGACGCUGAGGAGCGAAAGCGUGGGGAGCGAACAGG